UGGCUCAGGAUGAACGCUAGCGACAGGCUUAACACAUGCAAGUCGAGGGGCAGCGGGGGUGAUGGCUUGCCAUCACCUGCCGGCGACCGGCGCACGGGUGAGUAACACGUAUGCAACCUGCCCGCCACAGGGGGAUAAGCGGAAGAAAUUCCGUCUAAUACCGCGUGACGCGGCGCCGGGGCAUCCCGGUGCCGCCAAAGGGAUUACCGGUGGCGGAUGGGCAUGCGGCGCAUUAGCUAGUCGGCGGGGUAACGGCCCACCGAGGCGACGAUGCGUAGGGGUUCUGAGAGGAAGGUCCCCCACACUGGUACUGAGACACGGACCAGACUCCUACGGGAGGCAGCAGUGAGGAAUAUUGGUCAAUGGGCGCGAGCCUGAACCAGCCAAGUCGCGUGAGGGAUGACGGUCCUACGGAUUGUAAACCUCUUUUGCCGGGGAGCAAGCGUGCGUUCGUGAACGCGCGUCGAGAGUACCCGGAGAAAAAGCAUCGGCUAACUCCGUGCCAGCAGCCGCGGUAAUACGGAGGAUGCGAGCGUUAUCCGGAUUUAUUGGGUUUAAAGGGUGCGUAGGCGGGAUGCCAAGUCAGCGGUAAAAAUGCGGUGCUCAACGCCGUCGAGCCGUUGAAACUGGCGUUCUUGAGUGGGCGAGAAGUAUGCGGAAUGCGUGGUGUAGCGGUGAAAUGCAUAGAUAUCACGCAGAACUCCGAUUGCGAAGGCAGCAUACCGGCGCCCUACUGACGCUGAGGCACGAAAGCGUGGGUAUCGAACAGGAUUAGAUACCCUGGUAGUCCACGCAGUAAACGAUGAAUGCUAACUGUCCGGCUCGAAUGAGCGCUGGGCGGUACAGCGAAAGCGUUAAGCAUUCCACCUGGGGAGUACGCCGGCAACGGUGAAACUCAAAGGAAUUGACGGGGGCCCGCACAAGCGGAGGAACAUGUGGUUUAAUUCGAUGAUACGCGAGGAACCUUACCCGGGCUCAAACGCAGGAUGACGGGUCCCGAAAGGGGUCUUUCUUCGGACAUUCUGCGAGGUGCUGCAUGGUUGUCGUCAGCUCGUGCCGUGAGGUGUCGGCUUAAGUGCCAUAACGAGCGCAACCCCUGUCCACAGUUGCCAGCAGGUAAAGUUGGGGACUCUGUGGAGACUGCCGGCGCAAGCUGCGAGGAAGGCGGGGAUGACGUCAAAUCAGCACGGCCCUUACGUCCGGGGCGACACACGUGUUACAAUGGCAGGUACAGCGGGAUGCCACGGGGCGACCCGGCGCUGAACCCGAAAACCUGUCUCAGUUCGGAUUGGAGUCUGCAACCCGACUCCAUGAAGCUGGAUUCGCUAGUAAUCGCGCAUCAGCCACGGCGCGGUGAAUACGUUCCCGGGCCUUGUACACACCGCCCGUCAAGCCAUGGAAGCCGGGGGUACCUGAGUGCGUGACCGCGAGGAGCGCCCUAGGGUAAAACCGGUGACUGGGGCUAAGUCGUAACAAGGUAGCCGU
rnacentral:rRNA from 1 species